rnacentral:ncRNA from 2 species
AGAAUAUACACAGAUACAGGUGCCCAAUUUCAAAGGGAAAUUGGGUUAAAAGGGAAGCAGGUGAGAAUCCUGCACGGUCCCGCCACUGUGAUGGUGAGCUCUUUACAAAAAGCCACUGCCUGGCACUUCCUUUUAGGUAAGUGGAGUAAAAAAACAGACAAAGGAACCAUCACCUUGUCUUCUUGCCUUUUUGGUUUGAUUUGUAAAACAUUGGGAAAUAUUGGGUGCCGGGUGGGAAGGCGUAAAGAGCGAUGAACCUAAGUCAGGAGACCUGCCUGUAUUUGGAUUACACU